GUUUGAUUUAAGGAAUGACUAUAAUAAUUUUUCUGUCACUGAAGAAAUAACGUUAAAAUGUGGUGCACUCUGAGUAACCCACGUAACCACCUUGCCUAUAUACUUAUUGUAGAAGUAUUGCACAGUAACACAAUGAAAGAAACGUCUUUGUUGAAAAUGUGUCUCAUUACGAUAGACUUAUGUGGCGAUUAAUAUCGUGAUGUUUUGAUGUUUUUUAUUGUUCAUUCCAGUGCAAACAUGC
rnacentral:lncRNA from 1 species